AUUGAACGCUGGCGGCAGGCCUAACACAUGCAAGUCGAGCGAGCGGCGGACGGGUGAGUAAUGUCUGGGAAACUGCCUGAUGGAGGGGGGUAACGACUGGGAACGGUAGCUAAUACCCCCUACCAUUAGAUGUGCCCAGAUGGGAUUAGCUCGUAGGUGGGGUAAUGGACCACCUAGGCGACGAACCCCAGCUGGUCUGAGAGGAUGACCAGCCACACUGGAACUGAGAAACGGUCCAGACUCCUACGGGAGGCAGCAGUGGGGAAUAUUGCACAAUGGGCGCAAGCCUGAUGCAGCCAUGCCGCGUGUGUGAAGAAGGCCUUCGGGUUGUAAAGCACUUUCAGCGGGGAGGCGUUACCCGCAGAAGAAGCACCGGCUAACUCCGUGCCAGCAGCCGCGGUAAUAC
rnacentral:rRNA from 1 species